GCCGCGUGGGUGAAGAAGGCCUUCGGGUUGUAAAGCCCUUUUGUACGGGAAGAAAUCCUGUCGGUUAAUACCCGGCGGGGAUGACGGUACCGUAAGAAUAAGCACCGGCUAACUUCGUGCCAGCAGCCGCGGUAAUACGAAGGGUGCAAGCGUUAAUCGGAAUUACUGGGCGUAAAGCGUGCGUAGGCGGUUGGCUAAGUCUGUCGUGAAAGCCCUGGGCUCAACCUGGGAAUGGCGAUGGAUACUGGCCAGCUAGAGUGUGAUUGAGGAUGACGGAAUUCCCGGUGUAGCGGUGAAAUGCGUAGAGAUCGGGAGGAACAUCCGUGGCGAAGGCGGCCAUCUGGAUCAACACUGACGCUGAGGCACGAAAGCGUGGGGAGCAAACAGGAUUAGAUACCCUGGUAGUCCACGCCCUAAACGAUGCGAACUGGAUGUUGGUCUCAACUCGGAGAUCAGUGUCGAAGCUAACGCGUUAAGUUCGCCGCCUGGGGAGUACGGUCGCAAGACUG
rnacentral:rRNA from 1 species